UACGGAGGAUGCGAGCAUUAUCCGGAUUUAUUGGGUUUAAAGGGUGCGCAGGCGGCACGGCAAGCCGGCGGUCAAAUCGCGGGGCUCAACCUCGUCGAGCCGUUGAAACUGGGUGUCUUGAGUGGGCGAGAAGUACGCGGAAUGCGUGGUGUAGCGGUGAAAUGCAUAGAUAUCACGCAGAACUCCGAUUGCGAAGGCAGCGUACCGGCGCCCAACUGACGCUGAAGCACGAAGGCGUGGGUAUCGAACAGG
rnacentral:rRNA from 1 species